rnacentral:rRNA from 1 species
UGGGGAAUAUUGGACAAUGGGCGCAAGCCUGAUCCAGCCAUGCCGCGUGAGGGAUGAAGGCCCUAGGGUUGUAAAGCUCUUUCACCGGUGAAGAUAAUGACGGUAACUGGAGAAGAAGCCCCGGCUAACUUCGUGCCAGCAGCCGCGGUAAUACGAAGGGGGCUAGCGUUGUUCGGAUUUACUGGGCGUAAAGCGCACGUAGGCGGACUAUUAAGUCAGGGGUGAAAUCCCGGGGCUCAACCACGGAAAUGCCUUUGAUACUGGUAGUCUUGAGUUCGAGAGAGGUGGGAGGAAUUCCGAGUGUAGAGGUGAAAUACGUAGAUAUUCGGAGGAACACCAGUGGCGAAGGCGGCUCACUGGCUCGAUACUGACGCUGAGGUGCGAAAGCGUGGGGAGCAAACAGG